rnacentral:rRNA from 1 species
UCUUGGUCAUUUAGAGGAGUAAAAGUCGUAACAAGGUUUCCGUAGGUGAACCUGCGGAAGGAUCAUUAUUGAAUUACGGGCGAGGGUUGUCGCUGGCCUCUCGGGGCAUGUGCACGCCCGAGCCAUCCCCAACAAACGCCGUGGGCCUUCGGGCCCGCGUAUAUUUACCCUGAAUGUGUAUAGAAUGUAAACCAUUUGUUUGCCCUGAAAAAGCAAACGAAAAAUAGUACAACUUUCAACAACGGAUCUCUUGGCUCUCGCAUCGAUGAAGAACGCAGCGAAAUGCGAUAAGUAAUGUGAAUUGCAGAUUUUCAGUGAAUCAUCGAAUCUUUGAACGCGCCUUGCGCCCCUUGGUAUUCCGAGGGGCAUGCCUGUUUGAGUGUCAUUAAAUCCUCAACCGCGCCGAUUGAUUUUCGGUGGGGCUUGGACUUUGGAGCGUGCUGGCGAAGGUCGGCUCCUCUUUAAAUGCAUCAGCGGAAGAAACCUUUGUCUUUCCCGCCUUCGGUGUGAUAAUUGUGUUGCGCCGUGGUGGAACUUCAACGAUCCGCUUACAAUGGUCUUCGGACGAAACCUCAUGUCAUCUUGACCUCAAAUCAGGUAGGACUACCCGCUGAACUUAAGCAUAUCAAUAAGCGGAGGAAAG